rnacentral:rRNA from 1 species
AUACGUAAGGGGCGAGCGUUGUCCGGAAUUAUUGGGCGUAAAGGGCGCGUAGGCGGUAUAAUAAGUCAGAUGUGAAAUUUAGGGGCUUAACCCCGAAAUUGCAUUUGAAACUGUAAUACUUGAGAACUGGAGAGGUAAGCGGAAUUCCUAGUGUAGCGGUGAAAUGCGUAGAUAUUAGGAGGAACACCAGUGGCGAAGGCGGCUUACUGGCCAGUAACUGACGCUGAUGCGCGAAAGCGUGGGUAGCGAACAGGAUUAGAUACCCUGGUAGUCCACGCCGUAAACGAUGAGUGCUAGGUGUUGGGGUGACUCAGUGCCGUAGUUAACACAAUAAGCACUCCGCCUGGGGAGUACGGUCGCAAGACUGAA